rfam:Helianthus annuus linkage group 17, whole genome shotgun sequence.
CGGCAAUGACUUGAUUGGUUUAUCCGCGCUUCUGAGUGUAACCUGUGAAGCAAAAGAUAUAAAAUGGUUGAAUUUCUUAAUAUGAGCCG